GACAGAGGUCCCGAGCGUUGUUCGGAUUCAUUGGGCGUAAAGGGUGCGUAGGUGGCGCUGUAAGUGGGGUGUGAAAUCCCGGGGCUUAACUCCGGAACUGCAUUCCAUACUGCGGUGCUUGAGGACUGGAGAGGAGACUGGAAUUUACGGUGUAGCAGUGAAGUGCGUAGAGAUCAUGAGGAAGACCAGUGGCGAAGGCGGGUCUCUGGACAGUUCCUGACACUGAGGCACGAAGGCCAGGGGAGCAAACGGG
rnacentral:rRNA from 1 species